AUUACACAUGUUGAUGAAGCUGCAAAGGCAACUCAGUAAGGUGGUGGCGGGUAGUGACCAUAAGGUGGUGGCUUCUUGUGAAUUGGUGCCGGAGUUGGUGGCAACUUUGGUGGCUGGGGAACAUAAGGUGGCAACUUUGGUGGCUGGGGAACAUAAGGUGGUGGCGGGUAGUGACCAUAAGGUGGUGGCGGGUAGUGACCAUAAGGUGGUGGCUUGUGUGGCGGCUUGUGAGGUGGGUAGUGACCAUGAGGUGGCAGCUUGUGUGGCGGCUUGUGAGGUGGGUAGUGACCAUAAGGUGGUGGCUUCUUGUGAAUUGGUGGCAACUUUGGUGGCUGGGGAACAUAAGGUGGUGGCUUGUGUGGCGGUUGUGAGGUGGGUAGUGACCAUAAGGUGGUGGCUUCUGGUGAAUUGGUGGCGGAGUUGGUGGCUUAAUUGGUGGCCUGAUGAUAAUGGGAGGCAGCUUUGGUGGCUGGGGAACAUAAGGUGGCGGGUAGUGACCAUAAGGUGGUAGCUUGUGUGGCGGCUUGUGAGGUGGGUAGUGACCAUAAGGUGGUGGCUCCUUGUGAAUUGGUGGCGGAGUUGGUGGCAACUUUGGUGGCUGGGGAACAUAAGGUGGCGGCUCGUGAGGUGGGUAGUGGCCAUAAGGUGGUGGCUUCUUGUGAAUUGGUGGCAGCUUUGGUGGCUGGGGAACAUAAUGUGGCGGCUUGUGAGGUGGGUAGUGGCCAUAAGGUGGUAGCUCCUUGUGAAUUGGUGGCGGAGUUGGUGGCAACUUUGGUGGCUGGGGAACAUAGGGUGGCGGCUCGUGAGGUGGGUAGUGACCAUAAGGUGGUGGCUUCUUGUGAAUUGGUGGCAGCUUUGGUGGCUGGGGAACAUAAUGUGGCGGCUUGUGAGGUGGGUAGUGACCAUAAGGUGGUAGCUCCUUGUGAAUUGGUGGCGGAGUUGGUGGCAACUUUGGUGGCUGGGGAACAUAAGGUGGCGGCUCGUGAGGUGGGUAGUGGCCAUAAGGUGGUGGUUUAUGGUGAAUUGGUGGCUUGGGCUCGACCGGAGGCUUCACGACUGGAGGUGGAUAGUGGAUUGGCUCUGGAGGCUUCUUGUACGGUGGAGGAUGGUGAUGCUCAUAUGGGGG
rnacentral:lncRNA from 1 species